CAGGGAGGUGAAAAUGCCCAGUCUGUCCAGGGCCCUUGCAAGACGUGCCAAAACUUCAUGCUGUAUGGAGCUGCUUUUCUGUCUCAUGCAUCCUGCCCUUGCAGGGGCGCUCCUGGCUGUCCAGGGUCCUGACCAUUCCUUGUCUCCAGGCUGGUUCCAGAUGGGAUGAGUUGUUAGGACUGAUGGAUUCUUCUGGGAAGCAUUUGUAAGAUUUGGGAUCUGGCCAGAGGGGGAGAUGUCCACCUUAUCUUAUGGUUUGCUCAGGUCACAGUGGCUGUCACCAGUUCCCCCAAUGCCAUCCUGGGCAAGUACCAACUAAAUGUGAAAACUGGAAACCACAUCCUUAAGUCUGAAGAAAACAUCCUAUACCUUCUCUUCAACCCAUGGUGUAAAGAGGACAUGGUUUUCAUGCCUGAUGAGGACGAGCGCAAAGAGUACAUCCUCAAUGACACGGGCUGCCAUUACGUGGGGGCUGCCAGAAGUAUCAGAUACAAACCCUGGAACUUUGGUCAGUUUGAGAAAAAUGUCCUGGACUGCUGCAUUU
rnacentral:sRNA from 1 species